rnacentral:rRNA from 1 species
UGGGGAAUUUUGGACAAUGGGGGAAACCCUGAUCCAGCCAUCCCGCGUGUGCGAUGAAGGCCUUCGGGUUGUAAAGCACUUUUGGCAGGAAAGAAACGUCGCGGGUUAAUACCCCGCGAAACUGACGGUACCUGCAGAAUAAGCACCGGCUAACUACGUGCCAGCAGCCGCGGUAAUACGUAGGGUGCAAGCGUUAAUCGGAAUUACUGGGCGUAAAGCGUGCGCAGGCGGUUCGGAAAGAAAGAUGUGAAAUCCCAGAGCUUAACUUUGGAACUGCAUUUUUAACUACCGGGCUAGAGUGUGUCAGAGGGAGGUGGAAUUCCGCGUGUAGCAGUGAAAUGCGUAGAUAUGCGGAGGAACACCGAUGGCGAAGGCAGCCUCCUGGGAUAACACUGACGCUCAUGCACGAAAGCGUGGGGAGCAAACAGGAUUAGAUACCCUGGGUAGUCCACGCCCUAAACGAUGUCAACUAGCUGUUGGGGGCCUUCGGGCCUUGGUAGCGCAGCUAACGCGUGAAGUUGACCGCCUGGGGAGUACGGUCGCAAGAUUAAAACUUAAAGGAAUUGACGGGGGUCAUAGCUGUUUCCU